CCUCAAAUCGGGUGAGACUACCCGCUAUUAC
rnacentral:rRNA from 1 species